rnacentral:sRNA from 1 species
UCACAGGAAGAAUCUCAAAUAUGGGAGGAAGUGAACAUACCUUGGUUGUCUUAGGAGGGAAAAAAAAAGAGUCAGAGUCACAGUGUCACAAUGAUUAAAGAAAAAGUUGGGGCUGGCAGCAGCCGACACCCUUUCUAUUGGUGAAAGACUUCUGUAGAGAAUGUGGCCAAAGAGACACCUAGGCUCAUAAAGGCCAGAAUUCUGACUCCAUGUUCUAUGAGGUCACAAGAGCUAAUUCUCCAGCAUAGCUGAAAGUUCCAAUGUCAAGUUCUCUGGGGACACAGAAUACUAGAGUGCUGCAGACAUGGAGCUCUGCCCUUCCUCCAGCCCCAGCCUGCGCACCUUAGCUCUGGCUGCCCCUUCUGUGCAUCAGCUGGAAUUCCCCAGGAGGUAGAGGAGGUUUUGCACAGGGGAAGGCCGUCAAUCACCGGAACUGGGAGGGUAGGACCGUGCUGAGAGGGGAACCCAAGUUCUCAUUCAGGGUGGAGCAACAGCUAAGUCCUGACCAACCUGAGGCAGGCUCGACCUGAUGAAGGGACAGCUCAUCGGGAUCCCUUGUAGUAGCUGGCUCCCCUACAGUCUGGAAUGCCUCAGGGCCAACGUGGGAUCAAGCAGGAAAAGGAAACUGCUGGAUUAACUGUGCCAAACUCAAAUCACUAUGUUCAGUGAAUUACAAGGAGCCAAAGGAAAUGAUGAGGGUAGAUAAGAGACUAAGGUGAACCAAAUGUCCCUAGAGGCUCUAACUGCUGUAUGCGCUUGAUCCCACCAUCCUACUAUCCCUUGUGCCAUAGGUGAGCAUGUGACGAGCGACUACUUGGAGCCAAACAUUUAUGUCCUCCUGAGUCAACUUGUGAAGCUACACACAUGAGACAGUGUGGGUAUGCUGCAUAAUCAGGUUCUUCCUUGAAGACCACUCAUCUCGCUGGUUGAUUCUUGAUGAGGCAGGUGGCAGGAGCUUGGCUUGUUUGAACCCUUCAGGGUCAGAAGUGGAGCAAGAAGACUAGGUUCUCAGAUACUGAGCUAUAAUCACCAACGUUCCUGCAACCUGCUAUUGAUUUCCAAGGCUACCCUCGUGGCAAGGAUCAUUCUGAGGCAUCAAUAGCAGGUCUUCUCAGAUCAUUUUGGACCAGGUGCCUUUCUCUGGACAUUUAUGGGAGACCCUGCAAAUCACAGAGAGACAAGAACAAACGACUAGUCCAGAGAUUUCCUUUCCUCAUUUAUAUUCUGCAUCCUAAAACGAGUCUGUUUUCUUUAUAGACAAAUUCCUUUGGAUAAGGCUGGGUCUGCAGGAGAAUCUUCAUCAGAUGCAAUCAAAGUAUAAAGUGGGUCACAUAAAAAAUCAACCAUGACUAACAUUUGAACCCAAGCUAGUUACUUGUAGAGUCAAAGUGUGUGAUCAUAGCCCUCUGGUACCUGUGUUGUGUUUUGAGGAAAGAAGAAGGAGGAAGGAAGAAGGAGGAAGGAGGAAGGAGGAAGGAGGAAGGAGAAUGACAAGGUUCAAGGCAAAAUAUACAACUCUUGGUUCAGACUGUUCUCUGAAAAAGUCAAAGAACAAUGGAAGUCUAUAGGAGAGCCCUGGACCCAGAGGUUGGGGAAAUGCUCUCUGGAUCUCUCAUGUCUAGGAUCUACUUCCCACUGUCAACACCAAAUUAUAGUACAGAAAGAUGCUUUAACACAGCUCCAAGCUGCAUCAGUCACUUCCAUUGGGUUUUAUUGGUCUUUGAGAGUUUGCCUACUGAAUAGUAAGUCUGAGGACCAACUCAUGUCCCAAGUCAGAGCAAACUGCUGUCAUCUUCGAUGUGACUUGAAAAGUCACAUGGAGAGAAGUCAGUUUUGCAUUCAGCACGGGAUGUUUUCAGAGUGUGAGGACAUACCCACCAUCUUGGGAUGAUAUCCAUUUCAGUAUGUUAAAAGUGUUUGCAAACAUAAAAUAUAUAAAGGCAUAACACAAAUGGCAUAUACAGGCCAUCAACUCUUUGAAAAGGUCAGUUUCCCUAAAACAAGUUAAGGGAGGCGCAUAUGAAGCAUGGCUGGCCUUUGAUGCUUGCAGAUUUAAGCUAACAGCACGUAGACAUGUUGCUAAGGCGUGAAUGGAGAUGCUUUACUAUAUGGUCAGCACACAGGGAAGGGCACACUACUCGGGGAGACAGGGAGCCUGGCCAGGGGGCUGGGUCCCACUUCUGGCACUAUUCUCCAACACAUGUGUGCAGUGAUUCUCAGGUAGUGGCAAAACCUUCACUCCCUUGUAAAAAAAAAAUUGUGGCCCUUGAGCCCUUAUCAAAGUCAGAAGAGGAAACAAGUAUGCGGCUGUGCAAAGCAGACUUUCUGUACUUUCUAUCCCACAGUUCUGAGAACAGCUAGGGAUGUGCAUGGGAUGAGCCCGUGCCUCGAGUGUGCUGUUGAAUCAGGAGCCCUGUUUGCCCGUCCUCAUCUCUGGGUCAAGGGACCAGAUGUACAGCCUUACUCCCCCAGUCCACUGGGACCAACCUCACUUACUGAGGUCACGGUAUAUCUUUGGUAUCGGUCCACAAAGUCUCUAGCUCACUGUACCUAGCUCUUAACCUGGGUCCACAGCUCUUCAAACACGUAAGGAGAUGUAUCUCCUAUGAAACUCUUCCUUCUACGAUAAUCCAUUUAAACUCACUUUUCUAUUCUUCUGAACUUGAAUGGCCCUUGGCACUUAUAUUCCAGGGUCAGACAGCUUGGCCAUAGUUAUCUGUCUGCCAUCAGUACUACUUACACUAUUACCAC